GUUCUUUUAGUAUUAAUCAGUACAGCUGACUUCCAAUCAGCCAGUCUUGGAAAGCUCCGGGAAAGAAUA
rnacentral:tRNA from 1 species